UUAAUUACUGUAGCUUUGUAAUAUAGUUUGAAGUCAGGGAGUAUGAUGCCUCCAGCUUUGUUCUUCUUUCACAAGAUUGAUUUGGCUAUUCAUGGUCUAUACUGUUUUUUAUGAAUGUGG